rnacentral:rRNA from 1 species
UGCGUAGGCGGAUUGUUAAGUCAGUGGUGAAAGUCUGCGGCUCAACCGUAGAAGUGCCAUUGAUACUGGCAGUCUUGAGUACAGUAGAGGUAGGCGGAAUUUAUGGUGUAGCGGUGAAAUGCAUAGAUACCAUAAAGAACACCUAUAGCGAAGGCAGCUUACUAUACUGUAACUGACGCUGAGGCACGAAAGCGUGGGGAGCGAACAGGGUUAGAUACCCUGGUAGUCC